rnacentral:lncRNA from 1 species
GGGGGGCGCCACGCAGGUGAUGCGCGCGCGUCCUCCCGGGACCCCUCGCCCGCCUCCCCGUCAGCCCGGUCCCUCUGUUCUCUCCCAAGUCCUCCCCUCUCCCCUUCCCUCCUUUCCCUCCGCUUCUAUCUCCGUCUUUUCGCUAUUUCCUCCUCGUUCUCGAAUUCUCCAGUUCUCAGUUCCCUAUCUUUCUCGGUCUCCUCUAGUCUUACACCGUCCUUGCUUGCUUUCUCGCCCCCUUUCUCAAACUUUCUCCGCCCUUAUCCCCGACUUUUCUUGACUUCCUCUGCUUGCGUCUUUUGUUCUCUUUCCUCCCGCUUUGGCUUUCGGCCGCGUCUCUCUGCAGCGUUGUCUGGCCUCCUCUCCCUCCCCCCAUCGCCUGUCUCGGGGUCUCUCUGGGGGCGCGUGAACCCCCCUCCGCCCCCAGCCGACUCCUGGUUCGUUAUUUCAAAGCCCCCAACACUUUUCCAGGGACGAUCUCUCUCGCCCUUGCUGCUGCAGCGCAGCCAGAGGUAAUUACGAGCUGAGAAGUUGAGUUCCUUCCUCAGGCAUGCAAGAUGCCCAGGGAAAGGCCCUCCUUCGUCGGACAACUUCCCCAAAACCAUGAUUGCCAUGGUCGCCAGUGCAUAAUGAAAGAGGAAGCGUGACGAUGCUAACGUCAUAUAACUGUGAAAGAAGGUGGAGUGUACUUGAAAAUCUCAAUCGUGUGAUCAGGAGACGAACCAGCCAGUUGCCAUCCAUUGAUUACAAAGGCGUCACAGAGAUCACCGUAUAAACUUGGGGAGCUGGCAAGCCCUUCAACAUCUCCUGACAGGAGGGGCGAAGGCAGGAGUAGAUAUCAAAUGCCAAGGAUAAGCUGUGAUUGGCAGUCAGAUUCAGUCCUUUGACAAAUGUAUGUUGACCACCUACUCUGUGGCUGGCACUCUGGCUCUGUGCACCCAGCGAUGAGGGAUGGUCCCUUUGAAUUUAACCACAGGGACCACAGUGAUUAUGCUGCUGCUGCUGCUGCUGCUGCUGCUGCUGUUGCUGCUAAGUCGCUUCAGUCAUGUCCGACUCUGUGUGACCCCAGAGACGGCAGCCCACCAGGCUCCCCCAUCCCUGGGAUUCUCCAGGCAAGAACACUGGAGUGGGUUGCCAUUUCCUUCUCCAGUGAUUAUGCUAUAUUCAUUUAAAUAAAUCUCAAAAAGUAACAUAAGAUCGGGUACUUUCCCAUUAACUUUAAAUGAGUGAAUUAAAUUAUAUUCUCACUAUCAAGUCUGUUCAUUAUUAAAAAGAAGCAAUCCAAAAGAUGCUGAAAUUUCAUAUCAGUUGGAAAAGGAUGAACGUUUCAAAUAAUAGUACUGUGGGAACGGACAAACCAUUUGAGGGGUGAGGGGAGUUAAAUCUCUGUCCCUCUUAAAACUUCUCACCCUGAAUAUUGAAAAAAGAAAAUAUGAAAGUUCUAGAAGAAAGUAUUGAUGACAAUUUACACGAUUUUGGAGAUGGACAGAGAUCUUUUUAAGUGUGUCAUGAAAAAGUCAGAAAGCAAAAUGUUAAAAAUUUGACUAUAUAAUAAUUUUGAAAUGUUUGUAUGUUUAUAAAACCAAGACAAAAAUCAGAAGAACAAUAAUAUGUUGGGGGAAUAUUUGAAAUAUACAUGAAAAAGUGUCAUUUUCCUUAAUAUAUAAUGAAGCUUUAUAAGUGUAUAUGAAGAAGACAUCUCAACAGAAAAGAAGGCAAAGGACGUAAAAAGCUAAUUUACUAUAAAAAAAAAAGUAAAAGAAACCUAAACAAAUGAUGUAUACUUAAGUCACGUGUGACUCCAAGAAAUGCAAAAUAUGAGAAUAUUGAGAGUUUUUCUUUUCACUUAUCAAAUGAGAAAAGUAUAAAAGAAAAAUUACAUACUCAGAAAAUAGUUACUCUCCUUAUAUUGCCAAUGUUGACACACACACUUUCUGAAAGAUAAUUUAGUGGUAUUUAACCAAAGCCUUCCAUUGUGUGAAUUUUCAACCCAGGAAUCUAUGUCUACAUUCAGUAGAGGUAAUUAAAAGAAAAUAACUAUGGAUGGACCCAAAGACUUAUGUAAAAGAAUUUUGUCAGUGUUAGUAUUCAUAGUGUCAGAUGGGAAACAAUCUUAACUGUCAAACAAUUAGUAAAUGAUCAAAUGUAUCAUGGUACAUCACAGUAUGAUGAGCUGUUAUACAGCUAUCAUAGAUUAUGGUGUAGGAGAAUAUGGAAUGACUUGGAAAGGAUUUACAGUUUAUUUUUGUGACCUUUCUUCAACUUACUAGGGAGAAUUCCAAACAAACGAAGUUUGGUGAACAGACGGUACCCAUUACCUGUUAAUAGUUUCAAUGAUUAUUAAUAAGCAGCCAACCUUGUUUUACCUAUACCCAUCCCCACUGACUGCCCACCCCCAUUAUUUUGGAAGAAACCCCAGGCACCAUUUUGUUUUGUCCGUAACUAUUUCAGUAGAUAGCUCUAAAAUACAUAAACUAUUUUUUUAAAACCCACAAUAUAUCUUAUUUUAAAAUACUAAUAAUUUCUUAAUGUCAUCAACUGUCUAGUCACUGUUCAAAUUGUGAUGAUUAUUUCAUACGUAUUUUUUCUAGGGUUUUUUUUUUUUUUUUUUUUUUGCAUUAGGAUCCAAAUAAAUUCCAUGCACUGCAAUUGGUUGAGCUAUCUCUUGUCUCUUUUAACCUAUAGGUUAAAAGGUUUAACCCUGCAUCUAUUUCCCUCCCACUUUUAUACUGCUUGUAACAGGAAACAAGUUAUUUAUCAUGUAGUUCUUGUAAUCUGAGUUUACUGAUGGCCCCCUUCUAGUUUAACACGGUUUUCCACAUUUUAUAUUUCCUACAAACUGGUAGUAAAUUCUAGAAGAAUGGCCAAACUCAGAGCUCAUUCUUCUUGGGAAGAAUGCUUCCUAGAUGGUGCUGUGUACCUCCACCAGUCUUUGUGAAGUCAGCUGCCUUUGAAAUUUGUUGGCGGGAUUCAUCAUUUCCUUAGGGGUUAUAAACUGGUCACGUUCUAAUUUGAGCAUGCCUUCUUCACUUUUAACUGGAAUACUUUGAUAAUAGACACUUCCUCUCAUGAAUUAUUUUCUUACCCGAAAGUGUGGGAUGAAUGUUUCUUUCCUUUGAUUUACAGGUUUUGAGCAUCCUACAGAGAUAAGCAAGGAGGCGUUUUUUUUUUUUUCUUUUUUUUUCCCCAAGAGUCAUUAUGAGGUCAUGUAUUUAAAUCCAUUUGAAGUAUUUUUAUUCAUUUCAGUUAUUAUAGGAAUAUUUUAUUCAUUCCCAAGUCUUUGAAAGCCUCCUUUUUUCCUGGAGAAAUAAGGUGUUCAAGGUCCAUUUUGUAUCUAUUCUAAGCCAGACCCAAAAUCAUUCAUUGUUUUUCCUUUUUUUUUGAGGACCCCUGGUUCUUUUUAGUGGGAAGUGGUAUUUAGAAGCCAUACUAUUGUUAUUAGGAGAUGUUCAUUGCUACUGGGUUAAUAUUGUUUCUAGCUUUAUUUUUAAUUGGCAGGUUUAGGAAAUAUGUAUUUUUUUAAAGGAAAAUUCACUGCGAGUUUAUGCAAUGCUUCUAAUCAAGUUUUUCCUUAACUUAUUCAUUCUUCUAUCUGUAUCUCUCGCCCAGUACAAAUAAUAAAUGAUGGUAUAGAAAAAUAUUUAAUGAUUUGGAAAAUAGCCAUGUCUAU